rnacentral:lncRNA from 1 species
UCCGGUUCGGUUCGGUUCGGUUCGGGCUGGAUCCGGUUCAGGCUCCGGUUCUGGUCAAAUCCACCCCCGGGUCUCGGUCCGGUUCUGGUCCCUAACCCGGAUCCGCUCCGUGAUCCAGUCCCGGGCUUUGAACCGGUCCGGGUCCGAUCCAGUUCCAGUCUGGAUCCGGAUCCGAUCCGGCUCCUGCUCCUGCUCCAGUCCGGGUUGUGCCGAUCUCCGCUCCCGGUCCGGUCCGGUCCCGAUCCGGUCCGGUCCCGAUCCGGUCCGGUCCAAUCCCGAUCCGGUCCGGUCCCGAUCCGGUCCGGUCCAAUCCCGAUCCGGUCCAAUCCCGAUCCGGUCCGGUCCAAUCCCGAUCCGGUCCGGUGCCGAUCCGGUCCGGUCCAAUCCCGAUCCGGUCCGGUCCGGUCCCGAUCCGGUGCCGCUCUUUAUAGCGGCCCGAGAGCAUCACCGGGUCACGUGACACCCCCCCCCCAAUCCCACGGGACUGGGACAAACUGGGACAAACUGGGACAAACUGGGGCGGACUGGGGACACCGCUCCUGGCGUUACUGGUGUCCCUGGGGUCUGUACUGGGGUCUGCACUGGUUAUACUGCUUUUACUGGUGUCUGUACUGGUUAUACUGGUGUCACUGGUGUCCGUACUGGUGUCUGUACUGGUUAUACUGGUGUCACUGGUGUCCGUACUGGUGUCACCGCUGUCCCCUCACCGCCCCUCCCCCCAGCCGGGCCAAGGGCGCCGCGGUCGCGCCCAGUCGAUACUGGGCGCGUCCCAGUCCAUACUGGGAGGGUGCCAAUCCAUACUGGGAGGUGCCAAUCCAUACUGGGAGGGUCCCAGCCCAUACUGGGAGGGUCCCAGCCCAUACUGGGAGGGUGCCAAUCCAUACUGGGAGGGUCCCAGCCCAUACUGGGGGGUGUCAAUCCAUACUGGGAGGUGCCAAUCCAUACUGGGAGGGUCCCAGUCCAUACUGGGGGGUGCCAAUCCAUACUGGGAGGGUCCCAGCCCAUACUGGGAGGGUGCCAAUCCAUACUGGGAGGGUCCCAGCCCAUACUGGGAGGGUCCCAGUCCAUACUGGGAGGGUCCCAGCCCAUACUGGGGGGUGCCAAUCCAUACUGGGAGGGUUCCAGCCCAUACUGGGGGGUGCCAAUCCAUACUGGGAGGGUCCCAAUCCAUACUGGGAGGGUCCCAGUGCAGCCCCAGGGCGUUUCCAUGAGGCAGCGGUCGCGGGGGGGGCCGGGGGGGGCCGGACCAUUGAGGGGUCCGGGGGGGGUUCGGUGGUCAGGGAGCGAUUUUGGGGGGAUUUGAGGGAUUUGGGGCGGUUUUCAGAGAUUUGGGAGAGUUUUGAGGAACUUCAGGGAGUUUUAAGGGAUUUCAGGGAGUUAUGA